GACCUCGUGGUGCAAUGGUAGCACGUCUGACUCCAGAUCAGAAGGCUGCACACUGCAACAGCUGUGUGUUCAAAUCACACCGGGGUCA